UACGUAGGGGGCUAGCGUUGUCCGGAAUCACUGGGCGUAAAGGGUGCGUAGGCUGCGCGGAAAGUCAGAUGUGAAAUCCGGGGGCUCAACCUCCGAAUGGCAUCCGAUACUACCGUGCUUGAGAGCUGUAGAGGGAUCUGGAAUUCCAGGUGUAGCGGUGAAAUGCGUAGAUAUCGGGAGGAAUACCAGUGGCGGAAGGCGAGUCCCUGGACAACUCCUGACACUGAGGCACGGAAAGCAGGGGAGCAAACAG
rnacentral:rRNA from 1 species